rnacentral:rRNA from 1 species
CCUACGGGUGGCUGCAGUGGGGAAUAUUGGACAAUGGGGGGAACCCUGAUCCAGCCAUGCCGCGUGUGUGAAGAAGGCCCUCGGGUUGUAAAGCACUUUCAGUGAGGAAGAACGCCUGGUGGUUAAUACCCAUCAGGAAAGACAUCACUCACAGAAGAAGCACCGGCUAACUCCGUGCCAGCAGCCGCGGUAAUACGGAGGGUGCGAGCGUUAAUCGGAAUUACUGGGCGUAAAGCGCGCGUAGGUGGCUUGAUAAGCCGGUUGUGAAAGCCCCGGGCUCAACCUGGGAACGGCAUCCGGAACUGUCAAGCUAGAGUGCAGGAGAGGAAGGUAGAAUUCCCGGUGUAGCGGUGAAAUGCGUAGAGAUCGGGAGGAAUACCAGUGGCGAAGGCGGCCUUCUGGACUGACACUGACACUGAGGUGCGAAAGCGUGGGUAGCACACAGGAUUAUAAACCCGUGUAGGC